rnacentral:misc_RNA from 1 species
UCCGGUUCAUCACCGGCAGUCUCCUUAGAGUCCCCAACUUAAUGCUGGCAACUAAGGACAAGGGUUGCGCUCGUUACGGGACUUAACCCAACAUCUCACAACACGAGCUGACGACAGCCAUGCAGCACCUGUCUCUGCGUUCCUUUCGGCACAGCGCCUUCUCGGGCACCUUCGCAGGAUGUCAAGGGUAGGUAAGGUUCUUCGCGUUGCAUCGAAUUAAACCACAUGCUCCACCGCUUGUGCGGGCCCCCGUCAAUUCCUUUGAGUUUCAACCUUGCGGCCGUACUUCCCAGGCGGAAGACUUAUCGCGUUAGCUUCGAUACUGAAAGGUUCCCCUCCCAACAUCUAGUCCUCAUCGUUUACAGCGUGGACUAC